CUUUACAACACGGAGCUGUGAGCCUUUUGGCUGUGACUAAUAGAAAAUGGGAUCAUUGCAGUAUAGUGGUGUUCAGUAAUACUGUCAUAUUAGAAAAGACAGUGGACUAUUCAGUAUUUAUCAAUAAUUCUGCAACUUCUGACCACUGGAAGUGAGGUGGAAAAGGUUUACAACUUGAUGUAAAUCCCGCAACAUAACAAUGCAACAAUUCAUAGACCAGCGUUACGUUGUCCCUGCUCUUCUCCUGGUGGCCUGGAUAGUGGGCUGUUCUGUGGUCGUUUAUUACAUUUUCUCCUGAGGAGUUGGACACAGCAGCAGAAAAAAACGGCAAUUCAUUACCUGAACAGGCAGCUGUGGAGGCUUCGCAGAUGGAUGUGAAUGCAGUGAUAAUUUGAACAUGUCCUGUGCCAUUGCAAACAAGGCAUUGUAAAUAUACAUCUUGGAGAAACAAUGUGCAAUGCCUUUUAUUUUAUUCGUGUAAGAAGCAUCACUGGCAAAUGUUAUUAAAAUGCAUACUUUGCA